rnacentral:tRNA from 1 species
GGCGCGAUGGCACAACCUGGUACUGCGAUGGCCUUGAGAGCCAUUUUCCUUCGGGAUAUCCCGGUUCAAAGUCAAAGUUACGCUUCAAACUCAAAAAAGCGGAGCUUUUAUGGAUGUCCGGGUCGCGCCG